rnacentral:rRNA from 1 species
CCAGGUGUAGCGGUGAAAUGCGUAGAGAUCUGGAGGAAUACCGGUGGCGAAGGCGGCCCCCUGGACAAAGACUGACGCUCAGGUGCGAAAGCGUGGGGAGCAAACAGGAUUAGAUACCCUGGUAGUCCACGCCGUAAACGAUGUCGAUUUGGAGGUUGUGCCCUUGAGGCGUGGCUUCCGGAGCUAACGCGUUAAAUCGACCGCCUGGGGAGUACGGCCGCAAGGUUAAAACUCAAAUGAAUUGACGGGGGCCCGCACAAGCGGUGGAGCAUGUGGUUUAAUUCGAUGCAACGCGAAGAACCUUACCUGGUCUUGACAUCCACAGAACUUUCCAGAGAUGG